AUACGUAGGGAGCGAGCGUUGUCCGGAAUUACUGGGUGUAAAGGGAGCGUAGGCGGGAGUGCAAGUCAGAUGUGAAAUACAUGGGCUCAACCCAUGGGCUGCAUUUGAAACUGCAUUUCUUGAGUGAAGUAGAGGUAAGCGGAAUUCCUGGUGUAGCGGUGAAAUGCGUAGAUAUCAGGAGGAACACCGGUGGUGAAGGCGGCUUACUGGGCUUUUACUGACGCUGAGGCUCGAAAGCGUUGGGAGCAAACAGGAUUAGAUACCCUGGUAGUCCACGCUGUAAACGAUGAUUACUAGGUGUGGGGGGACUGACCCCUUCCGUGCCGCAGUUAACACAAUAAGUAAUCCACCUGGGGAGUUCGGCCGCAAGGUGGAAACUCAAAUUAAUUGACGGGG
rnacentral:rRNA from 1 species